rnacentral:rRNA from 2 species
AGAUUAAGUUAUUAAGGGCGCACGGUGGAUGCCUUGGCACUAGAAGCCGAUGAAGGACGUUACUAACGACGAUAUGCUUUGGGGAGCUGUAAGUAAGCUUUGAUCCAGAGAUUUCCGAAUGGGGAAACCCAGCAUGAGUUAUGUCAUGUUAUCGAUAUGUGAAUACAUAGCAUAUCAGAAGGCACACCCGGAGAACUGAAACAUCUUAGUACCCGGAGGAAGAGAAAGAAAAUUCGAUUCCCUUAGUAGCGGCGAGCGAAACGGGAAGAGCCCAAACCAACAAGCUUGCUUGUUGGGGUUGUAGGACACUCUAUACGGAGUUACAAAGGACGACAUUAGACGAAUCAUCUGGAAAGAUGA